ACACCAAAACACAGCUGAAACUUGUAAAGAGAGCUAGAAACAAGGAAGAGAAAAAAGCAGGGGCUAUUAAUAGAAGCCGCGCAGUGAGAAUGUGGUUCACUCGGACCUGGUCUACAGACAAACACAGCAGCCUCACCACUGAAGAAGAAACCAUGGGCCACACAGAUGCCAAGCUACCCUGCAGAUUUCCCCAGCCUCUGCUCCACAGGCGAAGCAAUCUCUGAGCCAGGGAACCCAGCUCCAGAAAUAUGUUUCCAUGGGAUGUCUGCUGAUAAAGGGGUUUGAUUUCAACUGUCCUUAAAGG